rnacentral:sRNA from 1 species
CAUAAUGGAUCUUCCGCUAAAUACGCGCGCUUCUUGUGCACAACGCGGAAGUCACCACAUCAUGUGGA